GAUGAAGAAAACAGGGCAGUUGGUUUUCACUCGAAAUCAGGAGGUCUCUGGUUUUUCUUGUAUUUCAGAGUGUAUCGGUGGAGUUAGAAUCUCUAUUUGGAACAAAUUAAAGAGGUCGUGUGCGCGCGAUUCUGGAAGUGGUUCUGUUUUGAGGGUUAUAUGUGUUUAUGCACGGGGAAUCAGAUUUAUAUGUCUUCUGGCCGAGAAGAAUUAAACCGAGCUUAUAGACCAAGGAUCUAGCCCAAGACUGUAGAGAUCGACUUCCCGGUGCCUGAUAGACUGCCUUAGUCUGCGGAAGCUUCAUUACCGAUUGCUUGUACGUGUUUUGAGUUGGGCAUAAAGUCUGUUGUGUUGUGAUGUAUUCACACCCUUGUAUGUUAUAGAUACUCCACAGUUUGUAUAAGCUUUAGGAGCUGUAGUUGUGUAAAUUUUGUUGGUUAUAUUUUGAUUAAGGUGUCUUUAGGUUUACUCGUGAAAUCGGUAAAUUUUGAGGUACACUUCAUGUA